rnacentral:lncRNA from 1 species
CCACUCCCCCUGCCAAAGCAGGCUCCCUGGACCAGGUUGCACAGCUCUUGGAACCUGAACUGCACAGAAUGUAGCACUCUCCAAGUCAAGACCCUCGUGCAUGAUGACAUCCGAAGACAGCCAUACUGUCCACAGACAGCUGCACUUGCACCCCAGCACACAGCGGCUGUAAAGCCAGCAAGACUCCUGCAGCACAAAGGCUGAGCAAAGCAAAGACAGACAGAUCUGCUAAUCGGAGCAGCGCUACUUUCAUUUACUGACGCCUCGUGCGUACAGAAGGUGGAAUUGAUUUAAUUGCAAAUGAAAGUCAAGAAAUAAAUUAAUGGAACGGUACUAAAUUUUGCAACAAAAAUAUGUUAUGUGUGAGAUAUCCUUUUGUGUCCGUCGUCUUACAGAGAGCGAGACAAAGGAAACAGGGCAGGGGAAAAAAGGCUGUGCUGAAAGCACAUGCAGAAAUCAAACACAGGAAAACUGUUGGGGACUUAAUAGUGCUAGAGGUAAAUUGGCCACUAUUCUUUGUAUCAGAAAGAGACCAGAGUAUUUGAUUAAGUUAAACAGGAGCCAUUUCUUUGUUCUCGAGAAGAGAGAAAGCAGCAUUUCAACCAGACGGCCGAGACAGGGAACCCAGGAAAAAAAUCUAUUAAAGGGAUGACAAAAGAGAAAAACACUUAGACUAAUUCUGCCAAAAUUCAUAAAGCAUCCUGAGGGGUUUAUAAAGGCCGCGUUUGUCUCAGACACAUACAGACCACACCACAGCAGAGUAUUUAAGGUAGGUCCAAAGAACUGGAGAUUUCUCAGCAUUUUUAAAGUUCAAGGCCCAGUAAAGCCUCUGAAAUGAGCCAAACAACUAAAUGGACAAGGAGCAAUCAAACAGCACAGCUGCGUGGGUCUGAAAUUAAAUGUUACAAAGACAAAAGCAUUCCACCCCCAGAAACACAGAGUUUUUUCAAGGGGCACUGUAGAUAGACAGGGCAGCAGAUCUGAUGGAUGUUUGAUCUGUUUCACCCAGAACAGGCGGCUCUCAACUGCAACAAAGGGGCCAGCGCUGGCAGAGCUGUAAAUAAGAGGGUAAAAAUCUGAGAUCUCUUCAGAUCAGUCACAUCUCAUCAGUACCCUUCUGCCUCCACAAUCUAUAAUAUUUACCAGUCAGAUGGUAAAAUAAAGCAAAACCCUGAGUGCACCUAUAUUCACUUCAAUCGCUGCUCGCCCUAAAGCAAAAACAGUUCUAACCAUCCACUCUCAUUUAUUCUUCACAAUUUGUUAUAUGCUGAAACAAUCAGCUGUAUUUUAAAAAAGCCUAAUUCUGCUGUUUCUGAUGAAUUCAUACAGAGCAUAUUUUACAGCCAUCUGUAUACUGAACGUGUUUGGUGCAAACACCUCGCUCUUACUGGGACAAAACCGGAGUAGGUGGUGAUUUGAGAGCAAAAUAUAGCCCACUAGCUUCCAUAUUUAGGCUAAAUGCAAAGAUUUAUUAGUCCUCUAGGUAAACAUUGACCUUGGCUUCACCUUGGUCAAUAUUUACUUCUCAGGUUAAUAAAUCUUUAUAUUAACUGCAAUUGAAGUCACUCUCUGCUUAAGAGAUAAAGACCAAACAGGACCUCAUAUGAAGACAGCAUUCAUCAGAUAAACUCUGCAGCUUGAUUUAUCUUCUUGCCCACUUGUCUUAAAAAAUGCUAAUCCACGGAUACUGCAAGAUGUUUCUCUCUGCAAGGGGGGGGAUUUUUAACCGGUCGUUCUGUGCACUUCACUUGCAUUUUAAAGUCAUGGCACAUGUUUGUUUCUCUUGGGCUCAGGAAUGGUGAAUGUUUCCAGGGUAUCCCUCGAAAAUUUAUCUUCAUGUAGUCUAUUUAGCUAUGGGCAAAACAUGCAGACUGCUUUACCAGUGACCACCCCUCUCAACCCCAGAGCUGGUCACUACUCAGUUGUUUGGAACACAUCGUUAUUUUGGAAAAAAAGGUGCUCGUUGGGGAUGGUGAGAACGACCCUGCAAUCAAACAGCAAUAAUAAAUGAACCAACUAACAGGUGGUGACCUCGAAAACCAGGAAGCAUUGAACUUAUCAGAAGAGAAAAGACAUCAAAGACAAAGACCCAACUACCAGGAAUGGGGAUCUCCAUUCCUGCACAGGAAAGUGCCACGAGAAGCUGCUGGAGAAGGAAAAGAUGAAGUUAUAAUUAAAGAUUUCCUUGAUAUUAACAGCGAAAAGGGAAAUCAGAAAAGAACAGCUCUGUACAUCUCUUUGUGCAAUUUCAAACACCACUGCACUGAUGAAAAUCCCACUGCGCUGUUUUCUCCACAUUUAAGAUGUACUUAAAAUACAACCAACCAACGUACGUUUUGUCCAGGGGUCUAUCUGGCUGAAUCCAGACUAGAUCGUACCUCAUUUCACUUUCAAAUGGAUUCUGUGCGGUAGGAAGGAUUUCUGCUUAACUGUUGUCCAAAAACAGAGGGCUUGUAGAGAGAGAAUUGCUCAGAUUACAGAGAAAUUAAAAAUGGAGCUUCCUGAGGAACAGAAUCAAAGCAGCAUUAACCUCAGAACCCAAACAGCCAAGCUGUUCCACUAAAAAAAAAAAAAAAAACAAAACAUAUUUAAGAUCCCACUUAAAUAAACAUCAACCGCUUUACUCAUACGAGAUUCCCUUUGAAGUCAAUGGGAUUAGCCAUGGAUAAAAUUCAGCCUAAAUUCUGUGCGGAAAGACAGGUACAAAGUCCGCGAAUCAUUUAAAUCCCACACAUUCUCAGCAUUAGGCUUAAGAGCUGCACAAGUCUCUCGUUCAGUCCUCAGCACCGCAGUGCUCAUCAGCUGCAGAUCCGGGGCAGGAUGUGUCCUGUGACACACGCACGGACGCGUCCUGCGUUCCUCCCCUGCUCCGAGCUGUGCGUUCCGGGUCCUAUCGGCUUCUCCACGCGGUGCUGACGAGUUUACAAUCAAGUCUCGACGCCUUUCUGCAGGCAGCGCGGGGAAAUGUCACGCAAACUCCAUUAAUAAAUCAUUCCACAGGCAUAAACUACCGGAAUGGCACAGCCAGCUCUUCUCGCAAGGCGGGAUAUUUUCAUGGUUACGCGUGCGAGAACGGCUGGGCAAAAUCUAUACAAAUACACAGAACCCCAAUCCAAACCCCAACCCAAGCGAUCCGCACACCUUUCUUUUUCCUUUUCUUUUUGCCCUUCGCUCGAAGCAGCCGCUUACCCGGCGUGCGGAGGGCUGAGCGCUGCACAGAGCCGCCGUUGGCUGCCGAGCGCUACCGCUGCCUCUGUGCGAGUGGCGGAGCUCCGCGCUCCCUCAUUUCUGGUCCAUGGAAAUAAAACACACGCAGGGUUCCAACGCGACUCAAAACAUCAGCCAAGAUUUUCAGAGAAUUCUUUAAAGGAGAAACGUAAUAUAUAUAUAUUUUUUCUUUUAAUUUAGUGGCACGUGAAUCCCGGGGCGAGAAUUAACCCGUCUCUCUUUGAAGCCCGUACUGCGGGUAAACGGGAGUCUGAGAGAGGGAAGAGCGAACAAAUCGCGGUGCUGACUGCCGAUAUUCUGCUGCAUUGGCGGCUGUUGCCUGAGAGAGCCGGGAGCAGCGCGGUGCCGGGGCGCGCAAACACAGCGGUGCCGCACCUGCA